AGAUUAAGUUAUUAAGGACGCACGGUGGAUGCCUUGGCACUAGAAGCCGAUGAAGGACGUUACUAACGACGAUAUGCUUUGGGGAGCUGUAAGUAAGCUUUGAUCCAGAGAUUUCCGAAUGGGGAAACCCAGCAUGAGUUAUGUCAUGUUAUCGAUAUGUGAAUACAUAGCAUAUCAGAAGGCACACCCGGAGAACUGAAACAUCUUAGUACCCGGAGGAAGAGAAAGAAAAUUCGAUUCCCUUAGUAGCGGCGAGCGAAACGGGAAGAGCCCAAACCAACAAGCUUGCUUGUUGGGGUUGUAGGACACUCUAUACGGAGUUACAAAGGACGACAUUAGACGAAUCAUCUGGAAAGAUGAAUCAAAGAAGGUAAUAAUCCUGUAGUCGAAAAUGUUGUCUCUCUUGAGUGGAUCCUGAGUACGACGGAGCACGUGUAGUUGCGUGGGAAUCUGGAAGAGCCCAAACCAACAAGCUUGCUUGUUGGGGUUGUAGGACACUCUAUACGGAGUUACAAAGGACGACAUUAGACGAAU
rnacentral:rRNA from 1 species